rnacentral:rRNA from 1 species
UGCAGUCGAACGGCAGCACAGAGAAGCUUGCUUCUUGGGUGGCGAGUGGCGAACGGGUGAGUAAUAUAUCGGAACGUACCGAGUAAUGGGGGAUAACUAAUCGAAAGAUUAGCUAAUACCGCAUAUUCUCUGAGGAGGAAAGCAGGGGACCUUCGGGCCUUGCGUUAUUCGAGCGGCCGAUAUCUGAUUAGCUAGUUGGUGGGGUAAAGGCCUACCAAGGCGACGAUCAGUAGCGGGUCUGAGAGGAUGAUCCGCCACACUGGGACUGAGACACGGCCCAGACUCCUACGGGAGGCAGCAGUGGGGAAUUUUGGACAAUGGGCGCAAGCCUGAUCCAGCCAUGCCGCGUGUCUGAAGAAGGCCUUCGGGUUGUAAAGGACUUUUGUCAGGGAAGAAAAGGCUGUUGCUAAUAUCGACAGCUGAUGACGGUACCUGAAGAAUAAGCACCGGCUAACUACGUGCCAGCAGCCGCGGUAAUAC